GUUGAACCUCAAUUUUGGGUAAUUUGAAAAUAGUAAACAAACCGCUAUCGGCCGUAAUGUUUUUAAUUGCGUGAAAAAAGUGUGAAUGCGAAAUUGGUCUCGUAUCAAACGAGAGAAACUAGAGGAUGUUGAACGAACCGGUAUCGUAAAAUUCUGCUGAAGGUAGUGAAUUGACCAGCCGAGACAUAGCUGCAAACAGCAACCAUCAACAUCCCGCGACACGCAUUCCCGUGAUUUUGUAAACAUAAAACAUGCAAACGCCACGCGGUCAAACACGUUACCAUACAAAUACUAGAGCCCUUAGCGAACAAACCUGGUCACACACGCGAACUGGCAAUCGCCAUCGACAGCCAAUUUAUCUCUGCAAGAUGAAUUACUCCGGCCUAUUCGAUAUCAAAGUUGAGCCUAGCGGCCCCAAAUUUAAUAAAAAUAUGUGGUGAUUUGAUGAUUUUUGAAAAAUAUAUUUAUGUUCACUUUUCUUCUAGGGAAGAACCACUAUGGAGCGGCAGCUCGUUCAGUGAGCCCUUUGCGCGACUUCCGAAGGGACAAGUAACCAGAUUGAUUUUGUCUACUGGGUAAUUUUACUCAUCUUGCUCGAUCAUCUUCACUGGUACUAAGGAUAGAACAGGAAAUUUUGAUGUGAUACCUACGUAAAGGUAAGCCACGGACUCAGCGACGCUUCCAUAAGUAUUACGGAGUUGGAUUGCAGAACAGGUAUUGUCUAGAAUUCGCCACAAACAGACAAUGCGACCACAAAAUGAAUAUGGUUUUAUGCGGUUGUUUGGUUAGUCUCCGAGCACGCGAAUAUUCAGAGCAAACCUAUAUUUGGGUGACGCCAAAUUGCGCUGGAUGAUCAUGCCAUCAAAGCACGACGAAUACGCAUGGAAACAACAUGUCAAUUAUAAAUAGUUUAACCGCUGAUGAGCAAUCAGGUGAUACGUUCGAUUAGCACGACAUGCAGUUCUGGUUAUUUUCCGUCGGCCUUUUUCCGCUCCGAGGCCAAGCACCGACACCAGAGAGGUAACGACUCCCACUAUCUGGACUAGAUAUCCACCCAUCAACUCAUGGACCGGGGACCAACGGCUUUACUUCCCUUCCGAAGGAUGCUGUGACCUCAGAUUUUUCUCAGAUUUCUCGACUGGGAUUGAACCCAGACCAACUGGGGUGAGAGGCGGUCACGCUUACCACCCAACCAUCGGCGACGUCCACUGAUGCCAAUGACACCACGCUUGGCUUCUUCCAGAUCCUUUUUCGAUUAUACUAACACGUGGCAAGACGCUGACAUACCCCUGAUAUAUCUACCAUUUCCAAACGAAAGUUCUAAUGGCUGCAUUAAUAAUUACAAUAAUACGUAUUCUAUUUCGUGUAACGUAUAAUUUGAGUUAAGCAUGAAUCAUCAAGUUUUGCGAUAGGAGCUAAAGCUUGAUUAUUUAACUUUUUCGCAUGCCAGUUUUCGAAAUAUUUUAGGAAUAAAAAAUGCUUUAACAUAAGAAUGUGCGAAUUAUGUCAAAUAGGAGAGUAGUGGUACAGAAAAAAUACAACAUGCAAUUAAACGGUAUCGAUCCAAAAUCAGAUCCAAAAUUCACUGUGUGUUAGUAUCAGGCCAAAUUAACAAAAAACAUUUAUAGGGAUAUGUGAUUAAAUUUAAUGAUAUUAAUGAAUUUAGUGUGA